UUGUACCUACGGGGGGCAGCAGUGGGGAAUAUUGGGCAAUGGGCGCAAGCCUGACCCAGCAACGCCGCGUGAAGGAAGAAGGCUUUCGGGUUGUAAACUUCUUUUCUCAGGGACGAAGCAAGUGACGGUACCUGAGGAAUAAGCCACGGCUAACUACGUGCCAGCAGCCGCGGUAAUACGUAGGUGGCAAGCGUUAUCCGGAUUUACUGGGUGUAAAGGGCGUGUAGGCGGGGACGCAAGGCAGAUGUGAAAACCACGGGCUCAACCUGUGGCCUGCCUUUGAAACUGUGGUUCUUGAGUACUGG
rnacentral:rRNA from 1 species